UGCGAACGAAUAUUUAUACAAACUAAUAAAUAUAAAAUCAAAUAAAAAGUGAGAAAUAAAAUAUGUACCCAAAUAAACUUACAACAAGCUCCACGUGUCAUCAAUUCGUACUCAGCCAACAAGAUUGCAGAGUAGGUCCAUGCAAAAACAAGAAUAACACAAAUGUAAAUAUCUAAAGAUGUAUAAAAUCCCAAACAAAU
rnacentral:lncRNA from 1 species